UUUAUGGAGAGUUUGAUCCUGGCUCAGGAUGAACGCUGGCGGCGUGCCUAAUACAUGCAAGUCGAGCGAACGGACGAGAAGCUUGCUUCUCUGAUGUUAGCGGCGGACGGGUGAGUAACACGUGGAUAACCUACCUAUAAGACUGGGAUAACUUCGGGAAACCGGAGCUAAUACCGGAUAAUAUUUUGAACCGCAUGGUUCAAAAGUGAAAGACGGUCUUGCUGUCACUUAUAGAUGGAUCCGCGCUGCAUUAGCUAGUUGGUAAGGUAACGGCUUACCAAGGCAACGAUGCAUAGCCGACCUGAGAGGGUGAUCGGCCACACUGGAACUGAGACACGGUCCAGACUCCUAC
rnacentral:rRNA from 1 species